GAAUUCUGGACAGUUGCUGCUUAUCUUGCCUGUUGCUGGCAGGCAUGCUCGACUACAGCAUUUUCACAAAAUUGCUGCUAAAAAAGUCCUUCCAGAUAGACAGAGAAAACAGGCACAUUUUUCUGGUAAAUCAUGGGAGCAGCUACCUUGUGCGAGUGCAGUGCUUUCAACAUCUUGGAGCUGUGAUUGAUAAGUUACAGGAGACUUUUGUCCCUAGUAAAAACUAUUCAGAACACCAUCAUACAGUUUGUUCCAGCCCAUGCUGCAUGAAAGAGACAUCUUCCAGCACCUGUGUUUUCAUUGAUGCCUCCAGCGAAGCCCCGCAGAUGAACCAUUCCAAAUCUCGGCUGACCUUAACAAAGAAGGAGCUGACAUACUUCAGUCAUAGCACUCAGCAAGCAAUCAGACUGCAUCCCAGUGACAUUCAUCAUAGCUGCUGGCAACGGCCUUUAAUUCAUCUGUUAUUUAACCAGGGUGAAAUGCCCGUCAGCUAUAUCAUGUUUGUUGGUGUUAGAUGAACCCAGCUCAUCUCGUGCUCACUAAAGUUCAGGAUUUAACACCAAUCCGUGAUUUUUCAAGCACUUCCAUUUCUGCACAGAAACACUUGUCUUUCCCUCGUCCUUUUUUCUGUUUUGUUUGACUCGUUGAUCUAAAACAUACACACACACAUCCAUGCCCUACCAGCACCUCUGAUAUUAGAGUGAUGGCACGCUAAUGCUACAGCAUACCAGCAAAAUAAUUAGGGGCAGCAAUUAUAGGAAACCUCCCACCUUCUCCAGAUUAAAUGUUGUGAAAGACAUAAGGGUAUGUGUGUGUGUUUCUGGCAUAGAAGGGCAAUAAGUGAGUGUGAAUAUAUCUGAUUUUCUAUGAAAUAAGAACACUAAUGACUGUGUGUGUUUAGAAUUCCCAAGUAAUGAGGAUUCCUGAUGAAAUAAAAAAACAACCCUCUUAGCAGAGAAAUGAGAAAGUCAAA
rnacentral:lncRNA from 11 species